GACGAACGCUGGCGGCGUGCUUAACACAUGCAAGUCGAACGGAAAGGCCCUGCUUUUGUGGGGUGCUCGAGUGGCGAACGGGUGAGUAACACGUGAGUAACCUGCCCUUGACUUUGGGAUAACUUCAGGAAACUGGGGCUAAUACCGGAUAGGAGCUCCUGCUGCAUGGUGGGGGUUGGAACGUUUCGGCGGUUGGGGAUGGACUCGCGGCUUAUCAGCUUGUUGGUGGGGUAGUGGCUUACCAAGGCUUUGACGGGUAGCCGGCCUGAGAGGGUGACCGGCCACAAUGGGACUGAGAUACGGCCCAGACGCCUACGGGAGGCAGCAGUGGGGAAUAUUGCACAAUGGGCGGAAGCCUGAUGCAGCAACGCCGCGUGCGGGAUGACGGCCUUCGGGUUGUAAACCGCUUUCGCCUGUGACGAAGCGUGAGUGACGGUAAUGGGUAAAGAAGCACCGGCUAACUACGUG
rnacentral:rRNA from 1 species